UCCCUGGUAGCUCAGCGGUAGAGCAGGUGACUGUUAAUCACCGGGUCGGCGGUUCGAGCCCGUCCCAGGGAGCCA
rnacentral:tRNA from 1 species